rnacentral:rRNA from 1 species
CAUGCAAGCCGAGCGGUAGAGAUCUUUCGGGAUCUUGAGAGCGGCGUACGGGUGCGGAACACGUGUGCAACCUGCCUUUAUCUGGGGGAUAGCCUUUCGAAAGGAAGAUUAAUACCCCAUAAUAUGUUGGAUGGCAUCAUUCGACAUUGAAAACUCCGGUGGAUAGAGAUGGGCACGCGCAAGAUUAGAUAGUUGGUGAGGUAACGGCUCACCAAGUCUACGAUCUUUAGGGGGCCUGAGAGGGUGAUCCCCCACACUGGUACUGAGACACGGACCAGACUCCUACGGGAGGCAGCAGUGAGGAAUAUUGGACAAUGGGUGAGAGCCUGAUCCAGCCAUCCCGCGUGAAGGACGACUGCCCUAUGGGUUGUAAACUUCUUUUGUAUAGGGAUAAACCUACCCUCGUGAGGGUAGCUGAAGGUACUAUACGAAUAAGCACCGGCUAACUCCGUGCCAGCAGCCGCGGUAAUACGGAGGGUGCAAGCGUUAUCCGGAUUUAUUGGGUUUAAAGGGUCCGUAGGCGGAUCUGUAAGUCAGUGGUGAAAUCUCACAGCUUAACUGUGAAACUGCCAUUGAUACUGCAGGUCUUGAGUGUUGUUGAAGUAGCUGGAAUAAGUAGUGUAGCGGUGAAAUGCAUAGAUAUUACUUAGAACACCAAUUGCGAAGGCAGGUUACUAAGCAACAACUGACGCUGAUGGACGAAAGCGUGGGGAGCGAACAGGAUUAGAUACCCUGGUAGUCCACGCCGUAAACGAUGCUAACUCGUUUUUGGGCUUUCGGGUUCAGAGACUAAGCGAAAGUGAUAAGUUAGCCACCUGGGGAGUACGUUCGCAAGAAUGAAACUCAAAGGAAUUGACGGGGGCCCGCACAAGCGGUGGAUUAUGUGGUUUAAUUCGAUGAUACGCGAGGAACCUUACCAAGGCUUAAAUGGGAAAUGACAGGUUUAGAAAUAGACUUUUCUUCGGACAUUUUUCAAGGUGCUGCAUGGUUGUCGUCAGCUCGUGCCGUGAGGUGUUAGGUUAAGUCCUGCAACGAGCGCAACCCCUGUCACUAGUUGCCAUCAUUAAGUUGGGGACUCUAGUGAGACUGCCUACGCAAGUAGAGAGGAAGGUGGGGAUGACGUCAAAUCAUCACGGCCCUUACGCCUUGGGCCACACACGUAAUACAAUGGCCGGUACAGAGGGCAGCUACACAGUGAUGUGAUGCAAAUCUCGAAAGCCGGUCUCAGUUCGGAUUGGAGUCUGCAACUCGACUCUAUGAAGCUGGAAUCGCUAGUAAUUCGCG